GCUGGGUGUAGUGAUGUGUGCUUGUAAUCCAAGCUACUCAGGAGGCCGAGGUGGGAGGAUUACUUGAGCCCAGGAGUUCAGGGCUGCAGUGAACUCCAGCCUGGGCAACAGAGUAAGAUCCUGUCUCUA
rfam:Pan troglodytes isolate Yerkes chimp pedigree #C0471 (Clint) chromosome 19, whole genome shotgun sequence.